UACGUAGGGGGCAAGCGUUAUCCAGAUUUACUGGGCGUAAAGCGCGUGUAGGCGGCUGGUUAGGCGUGAUGUGAAAUCUUCCGGCUCAACCGGAAAACUGCAUUGCGAACCGGCCUGGCUAGAGUGCAGGAGAGGGAAGCGGAAUUCCAGGUGUAGCGGUGAAAUGCGUAGAUAUCAGGAGGAACACCGGUGGUGUAGACGGCUCUCUGGACCGUAACUGACGCUGAGACACGAAAGCGUGGGUAGCAAACAGG
rnacentral:rRNA from 1 species